UACGUAGGGACCAAGCGUUGUUCGGAUUUACUGGGCGUAAAGGGCGCGUAGGCGGCCCUGUAAGUCAGUGCUGAAAUAUCCCGGCUUAACCGGGAGGGUGGCAUUGAUACUGCAGGGCUUGAGUGAAGUCGAGGUAGGCGGAAUUGACGGUGUAGCGGUGAAAUGCUUAGAUAUCGUCAAGAACACCGAUAGUGAAGACAGCUUACUAGGCUUAUACUGACGCUGAGGCACGAAAGUGUGGGGAUCAAACAGG
rnacentral:rRNA from 1 species